CUUGUGAAAAAUAUUCUACAGUAGAUAUCCUUCCGUAAAAGUCUGUCAACAACUAUUUUAAUAAUUAUCUUAAAUCAAUAUAAAUUUGUGAAUCACAUUUAUCUACAAAUUUAUAUUUUUAAAUUGUAAAUUCAUAUGUUAUAUUUUAUUGAAAAAUAUUUUAUAUUUUAAAUAUUAGUAGAUAAAAUUGAGAUAAUUUUUAUAUAUUCGUCUUUUAAAAAAUAUGAUUAAAUAUUAUAUAUGCGGAAGGUAUUACGUGAUUGUAUAUUAUGUAGAUGGCAAAUAUUAUGUGUGAGAAAGAAAAUAUUUAAGAAGCGUAGAUUACGAAUAUUAUUGUGAUAUAAUACGAUAUUAUUAUGUGGGCAGCGGUUAUUAGGAGAGAAGAUAAGCAUAUAAAAUGUGAAAUUUGAUACGCAUUAUUUGAGGGUAAUUUAGGUAAAAAAUAUGAAAGAUACUUAAUUCGUCCGUCAUUGGAUUAAAUCUAAUGACUAAGAAUUAAUAUAUUUUAUGAUAAUUUAAAAAUAAAAUAAAAAUUGUAUAACUGUGAUUUUUUCCAUUAAAAUUGAAUGAAUGAUAUUGCUAGUAUGUGAUUGUAAUUAUAUUAAUAGGAAUCGGUAUUUUGGAAAAGAUAAAUUUUUUAAAACUCCCUCUUUUAUAAGUAGUAUAUAUAUAUAUAAUUAUGCUACUAUACUAUCAAUAGUACUAAGCUCUUGGUACUAUUGAGUUUUCGACCGUUGGAUGAAAAGAUGUGCGGUCAGGAUGAUAGUGGUCCCCGGUUAAAUUGAUAGUGGUUCCCUAGGGUUGACUGGGUGGUUGGUUUAAUAGUAUAAUCUAACGGUGGAAAUGAUCAAAGGGUAGAUCUAACGGUAAAAAACUCAAUAGUACGAAGGACUUGGUACUAUCGAUAGUAUAGUAGCCGGAU
rnacentral:lncRNA from 1 species